rnacentral:rRNA from 1 species
CCCUUAGAUGUCCUGGGCCGCACGCGCGCUACACUGAGUGUCUGAGAUACGAGUCUGCCUAGCCGGCGAGGUCUAGGUAAUCGCUGAAAGACACAUCAUCCUUGGGAUAGAUUAUUGCAGAUAUUAAUCUUGAACGAGGAAUUCCUAGUAAGCGCAAGUCAACAGCUUGCGUUGAUUACGUCCCUGCCCUUUGUGCACACCGCCCGUCGCUACUACUGAUUGGAUGUUUAAGCGAGGUUCUCGAACUGCUAGCGACUUAGCUUCGGUGAGGUCGCCGUGUGGGAAGUGAACCUAGCUUUGGUGUCUAGAGGAAGUAAAAGUCGGAUCA